UGACAUUCUCCUCCUGUAGGCCCAGGGC
rnacentral:piRNA from 2 species